GUCCCCAUAGCUCAAUGGAUAGAGCAGCGCUCUUCUAAGGCGUUGAUCCGGGUUCGACUCCUGGUGGGGACG
rnacentral:tRNA from 1 species